GUAAGGAAUAUUGGUCAAUGGACGGAAGUCUGAACCAGCCAUGCCGCGUGAAGGAUGACGGCCCUCUGGGUUGUAAACUUCUUUUACCGGGGACGAAAAAAGGCUUUUUCAAGCCACUUGACGGUACCCGGGGAAUAAGCACCGGCUAACUCCGUGCCAGCAGCCGCGGUAAUACGGAGGGUGCAAGCGUUAUCCGGAUUCACUGGGUUUAAAGGGUGCGCAGGCGGAAAUGUAAGUCAGUGGUGAAAUCUGUGGGCUCAACCCUCAAACCGCCAUUGAUACUAUGUUUCUUGAAUGUCGCUGAGGACAGCGGAAUGGGACAUGUAGCGGUGAAAUGCAUAGAUAUGUCCCGGAACACCGAUUGCGAAGGCAGCUGUCUAAAGGACGAUUGACGCUGAGGCACGAAAGCGUGGGUAGCGAACAGGAUUAGAUACCCUAGUAGUCC
rnacentral:rRNA from 1 species